ACAGCAGCCGCCACGGUAAUACAGAGGGUGAGAGCGUUAAUCGGAUUUACUGGGCGUAAAGCGUGCGUAGGCGGCUUCUUAAGUCGGAUGUGAAAUCCCUGAGCUUAACUUAGGAAUUGCAUUCGAUACUGGGAAGCUAGAGUAUGGGAGAGGAUGGUAGAAUUCCAGGUGUAGCGGUGAAAUGCGUAGAGAUCUGGAGGAAUACCGAUGGCGAAGGCAGCCAUCUGGCCUAAUACUGACGCUGAGGUACGAAAGCAUGGGGAGCAAACAGGAUUAGAUACCCCGGUAGUCCCUGUCUCUUAUAU
rnacentral:rRNA from 1 species